GACGAACGCUGGCGGCGUGCUUAACACAUGCAAGUCGAACGGUGAAGUAGAGCUUGCUCUAUGGAUCAGUGGCGAACGGGUGAGUAACACGUGGGCAACCUGCCCCAGACUCUGGGAUAACUCCUCGAAAGAGGGGCUAAUACUGGAUAUUUGCAUUACAAGACAUCUUGUGAUGCAGAAAGAAUUUCGGUCUGGGAUGGGCCCGCGGCCUAUCAGCUUGUUGGUGAGGUAACGGCUCACCAAGGCGACG
rnacentral:rRNA from 1 species